GUGAUCGCUGCUCCCGACGACCCCAGUUCCUGUGCGGCUCGGACCUGCCGGGGGUCCGGGCCGCGAGCCCCCGGAUUGCGUACCUAGGGACUGCCUGUUGCGUCACACUGGCCAUACGGGGGUCCGAUGGAGGACGGGGCGGUGGACGGCGGGCUGUGCAGACGUCAUUCACUUGGCAUUUUUUUAAGGACACUAGAAGGGGGCGUGGAAAACGAAGAGUCUGCAGUUGGAGAAGUAUCCACAUGGCGUGGCCGCGACGGGCGCGCUCGCCGUGCCCCCGCCGUCGGGCGUGGUCACUGACCAGGCCCCGUCUCCGAAGGCCUCGGUGCCCCCCGACUACCUCCCCGCAGGUCUUGGGUUUGGGAUGGUGGCGCGGCCCAGCCGGAAUCGGGGGCCCAAGACUUGCCCACCACCCCUACCCCCGGCGAGAGGAGCUGGGGAGACCCGAGGGGCAGCCGAGCCCCAGCCAGCGCGCUGACCAGCGCGACCACGGGCUGAGCAGCGGGUGUGUGAUAGCCGCGCGGGGGAGACCAGCAAGCUCAGAAAACAGUAUGCGUCUCUGGCAACUAAGUUCUAAAAUAUGAAAAGUGUGUCACAGCUGAACCCGUGUUCUAAGCAGUCCACCGGGAAGUUCUCAUUCACAUCAGUUCGCUCAGCUUCAAAGAGUAGGUUGUCGGCCGCCCUGAGGAAAACAGUCUGAACGUCAAGCAACAAACAGCUUGAGACACCCAGACUGACGUCCAGAUCUGCUGCCUCCAAAACCAAGCCUAUCUACACGACACCCAGGAGCGGAAAGGAGUGGUCACAAUGCCAGUUUAGCGCAACCGACAGCCAGAGAGCUCUGGGAGGCGGGAGAGGACGGACCCCUCGGGAACCUCCCCGCCCAGCACAGGCAAUCUGCAAGGGUCACAGAGGGAACCCACAGGGGAAUACUUACUUUUCGGCACCUAGCCUUUAAACCAAA